rnacentral:misc_RNA from 1 species
GAUGAAGAACGCAGCGAAAUGCGAUAAGUAGUGUGAAUUGCAGAAUUCCGUGAAUCAUCUAAUCUUUGAACGUACAUUGCGCCUUCUGGUAUUCCGGAAGGCAUGCCUGUUCGAGAGUCAUUAACAACCGUUUCGAUCCCUUUCUUUCAGAAAUUACAAAGAGGAAAAGGGUUUGGUUAUGGUGGAGGAGGGAAAGGGAGCGUUUAGCCUGUAAAAAAAGAGGCUGUGUUCCGCCUCCCCCCCAAAAUUGUACAGGCGGUCGUGUGCGCCCACGCAUCGAGGUGUUGUAAAAGCUGCCACGGCACUUUUCACCUGUGCAGUGCGAGAUUGGCCAGCCGGUUUAAAAACCCCUCCAAACAAUCAAAGGUUGACCUCGGAUCAGGUAGGGAUACCCGCUGAACUUAAGCAUAUCAAUAAGCGGAGGA